UGGCAAAGAGUCAUUUCUUUGAUGAAGGA
rnacentral:piRNA from 1 species